CCAAUCUGGUGGGCUCAGAGCAUACCAGAAAAGGAGAGUCAUUCUUUUACCCUUUCCUACAUUUUCCAUGGCUCCUGGAAUUUCACAACCUAGGAUCUGGGAUUGCUAAUGGUGUUUUUCAAGCUCAUUUCAAAGAAAAUUAAACCUUCUGAGAAUCAGUAGACAAAGUAAAGGCUGGAGCCUGAAAACAGUGAAGUCGACGUGAGGCCUGUCCCUGCCAGGUUUACAGGAUCAGCCCAUAUGUCUCACAGGAUGGGAAAUAGCAACAUCGUGACGAUGCCAGAGGUGACAAAUCUGAAAUGUAAAUCUGGUGGCAUAGGCUGGAUUUGACACAACCCACAAGAUCACUGCAGCUGGUGAUGCUAAAUGUGUUGGGGGUUAGAACCUCAAAAGGACAAAGAGGCCACAGCACAAGUGUUGCAAUGCCCAGCCUGUAUGUGCCCUGCAUUGUAGUGACCAAUUAGGCUCCACGUUUUCGUAUGGCAAACGGGAGAGGGAACACUUGUGCAUGGCCUUCCCUUGGUCUCUGAACUGAAAAAAUGACUGUCCCGUCAUGUUGUCCCACAAUACGAACAAACAUGAUGGAAAAAAAGAACUCUUUCCUGAAAAGUCUGUGAGAAAUUCAAGAAUGGGAAAUGGCAAGACAUAUUACAGCAGCCGGUGUAAGUCAGAGAAGGGUAGUUAUAAUGGAGUGUAAGUAAACAUAUCUGCAGUAAAAGUGAGUGGCUUCUUUAUUUUCAUCAGAACAUUAAGCAGAAAUUGAAGGAACAUUUUUCCCUAAUAUUCUCCAGCUGGCAUAUUAUGACCUCAACUUGCUCACUCUGUGCCACACUGGAAUAGCUUUAAUGGUGUACGUGGGUACAACUAAACAAUACAUUACUUGUAAUGUCUUAAGUAACCUAGCAAAGCAUGGUACCCAAUUGCUGAAAUGCUGUUGUGUAUCUUUCAGAGUCUACUUUGUUACCCCCAGGAGACCAAACCCUGAACUGGAAACUCUUUACUGCUAAUUUCUUUCUAUCAAUUUUAUAUAGCCCAGUGAAAGAAGGAUAUUUCUUCUAACUCUAUGUCAUCAGAGCGCCUGUUGUUUAGAUGCGAAUGCUGGAGACGGCAGGGUUUACAAUGACCCCUAGUUCUCCAUUUUACUUUCUGAUGGUCUGUUAGCAUGUGUGUCUUCAAAUGCUCCACUGACUGACUUAGAUACAAAAGAGGGUUUUUACACCAUCUGCUUAAGACUAUAUCAGAGCCCCUAAGUUUGGGACCUGAGUUUUCUGUAGUCUCUCUUCACAGCUAUUCAAUGUGCCUAAGUUAGCUGAGUUAGUGGGGAUACCCAAAAGAUCCCAGUGCAGCCAUAGUAUUUGUGGGACAGGGAAAACAGAGGCAAUAUACUUGGAUUACAGAAGUACAUGUACAUCAGAGUGUUACUGUUCAAAACGUUAAAUAUUAUAUGAGCUUGGAUCCGGUUGUUUCUUUCUUCCUUUCUGCCACUUUAAUCUUUGUCUGUCCUAAAUAAAAGGUUACUUACUGUUUCCAAUUUCUUUCAGCUGUUAGGAGAUUGUAUAAAGCAACUGAACUGUUGAUAUCCAACAAAUCCAGCUCCUGUCCAAAGAAACUAGACACCUUGUUUGUAGAACGUCAUAUCUGACAGGGCUAGAUUAGCAGCUCUGAGCCUGUUGACUCAGUCUUAUUAGAUCUGUGUGCUAACGAAAUAAACAUUCGAAAGAGAACCCAUAGCAAUUUAUAAGGUAGAUACUCGCCAGCAGUGCAAAGGCAAAGUAUAACAAACACGGGAAGCUCAACUCCACAUUAGCGUGAAGAAGCAGCGUGAUGAAUCGGACACCCUCCCCACAUGCACACAGCUUCGUUACGCAUGUGAAGACCUAUCUGCUUACUUGUGUACAGAGUUUUCUCUUGCCUUUUCAGCUGUUCAGAAUAAAAGCAAGCUUGUGACGGUCACACUCCACGUGCCUCUAAGGCAGCUCUUGCUAGACGAGGGAGCUCCAUUGCAAAAGGCGCACAGCAGAGUGUGGGCUUUGGGCUUGGCAUGCUCUGAGACCCCCCAUCUCCUCUCUCUAUCACUCUGGCACUCCUGUGACUCAGGAUUUUCGGCAGCUUUCCUAAAGCACCAUGCAUUAGAAACCUGUAAGAGGAAAACACAUGCUGUUAAUUUUUUUUGUAUUACUCAAAGUAUGUUUGCACUGGUAAAGAAAACUCUAACUCCAUUUUAAGCAUAUUGUCAACAUUGCAAUGGUUCAGAAUUGUUUUAAAACCAACAGAUCCAUCCACCUGAGCACAGGGUUAUAUAGCACACUUCACUCAAUCUAAAAGUAAGCUGCCACAAAAAAGAGUCUCCUUUUUACGGUCCUCCUAGACUUCUCCCUUUGUACUGGCUUUGGCACUUGUCCACCUCUGGAGUGAACUGAUUCAGCUCACUAAACUGACAGAAAAAUGUUUGGUUACUUAGUUAUCAUUAUUCACCUCUUUGCAAAUGUUAAUUUUAUGAUGAUUCAACUCCCUAAACCUGGUUUCUGUGGGAUCAGGUAAGUCCCAGAGACAGCGCCAGGAAGUAGCAGAAGCACAUGGCUGGGACCAGGGAGGAAGGGGACAAAGCCUGCUACUCUAGUGGCUCAGUAGUGACACAAAACUUUUCCCUCUGCCUCUCUUCUGCCCAUGGUGAUUCCCAGGAGACGCAUGGUUUGCCUUGGCACUUCUAGGUUGCAUUCUUUCUUGUUGCCCUCACAGAUGGUAUAGUUAAAGAACAAGAACACAACCAUGUUUUGAUCGCUUUCUGGUUGUCUGGGAGUUCAUGGGAUCAGAGAGCGUGAAAUUUGCCCCAAGCACCUCUGCUUGGGGCAAAUUUCUGCCUCAAUUUCUCUAACCAUGCCAAAUGUGCCUGGGUUUCUUUCUGAAUAUAUCUACGGCAAUACUGUGAGUAGCAACACUAUAUUUAUAAGAAGUGAGAGAACAUCAAACAUCAAAACAAUAUAAACUGUCAUUUACUAGUUUCUGUGAAAAUGCUGAAAUGAUGUUUUAGGAAAACUGCAUUGUUUCAGUAUUUCAGAAUUCACUGAAUACUGAAUAGCAGUCACUAUUCAGUUGACUAAACAAAGUUGGAAGUUGGCUUUUCCAAUGCAUAAGGAGUCCCACCUGGCGUCCAGCUUCCACUCUUAAAGGUCUCAGGACUGUGUCACAUCUGCAGUCCCCAUGUGGAUGUCUCAGAUAACCCCAAGGUCAUCUCAAAUUGCACUGAGUUUUUCGCAACUGUUUUGAAUCCCAUGGUCUGUUACUGAGAUUCAGGUACUCAGGUCAUGUGUCAACAGCUACACGUAGAUGUCUACAUCCAUGUGUCUUAAACUGAACCCCAUCCCGAAAGCUCAGCUUCUUUCUUAAACAUAGGUUCCUAGUGCCAUUUUAGAGGUUCUAGAGUAUCUCAGCUAGCUACAUGGGGGUGCCAGAUAUAACAUAGGAUAUAUGAAAGACAUCUGUGCCCUCCUGCAGUGGCAGCUGGAAUCAAAGGAUCUCUGAGAUGGCACUAGAUCUUUAGACAAAUGAAUUGAGUCGUCCAGAGUCAUCAGUAGGGUAUCUGAAAGGAGUCAUCCCAAAAUAUAGCAGCCUAAACACUUUUCACAAGUGUGUUGGUUUUUCUUUUUCUGGACUAUUUUUCCUCAAAUAAUUUGGGCAUCUCUUUCUCCUAGCUCCAUGCCCACAAAUGGGUGAAUACCCACACUUUUCCCACCUGCUUCAAAUUCCUGGAGCCCCAGCCUGCAGUCCCUCAUCUCCCUUUGCAGGUGUAUGCUGCUCAAGGCAUACCUAUUUCUUGGUGAGCUGGGGCUGUGGCUGGGGAGCUGUCAGGAAAACACCCUUGUACCUCAAGCUGCAUCCAAUCUGUUCCCAGCUGUGCUUGCUGGUGACGCCUCAAAGGAAACUUUCUCCUUUCACGUGGCUUCAAAAGAAGACAUGGAGAAAAUGCAAGGGAAAAGGAAGGACAUAGGCCAGCUGACAUAUUCUUAGAGGCUUCAUGUAUAUAUUGCACACCCUCCUGACGUUGUCUACCUUGACAGUUGAGAAUCGGCAAUUUAGAACUAGAAAUACAGAAACACUGCAGGAAGCACAACAGGGAAACAAAGAGUAUAUUACUUUCUUAAUCACCGCUGUCUCUUAUUUGAAAUUAAGGAAUGUAUGAAACUGCAUAUAUGUUUUUUCCCUCCAUGGAAUUCAAACUAUAUUGCGUAUGUGAUAAAAAUGACUUUCCCGUAAUAAUUUACUUUCCCAUUCACAUCAAUAUUCAUACCCUAGUGUACGGCUUUAAACAGAUUUUUCCAUUGCAUCUGUCCACAGAGCAAACAAAUCUUUAUGCAUGUUCUUCAAUUAACUUUACUUGGAGCAGACUCCAUUAACAUGUAAAUGAAAAGUCACUCUGGCCUGGUCUACAAUGCCCUAGAAAGUUUCAUUGGCCUAUUUGGUUACAAUUAUGAAGAAAUCAUACCUUUAACAAACAGAGCUAAACUGCCAAAAGCAGUAUAUGAUGUGGUUACGGUAAGAACUGAUUUAAUUUACUAUUGUCUCCCCUCUUGGAAAGCAGCGUUUCAUUAGUUGUAUAACUAUGAGAAAACUUUAAAGCCCAGUUAUCUACACUUUGUCAGCUCAGCAACAAAAAAAUAGUCCAUAAAUGUAACAAAGCCACAAUUCUUUUUAAAGGCUAGCAAAUGCUAUAAAAGUUCACUUCAAACCAGCAUUGUGGUUGUUAUGAUGUUAAAAGCUAUAUUGCUCUACCCUCACUGUUGUUGAUAAUCAGUGGGGACUAGAGUUACUGUUUUGCUAAACACUAUUUCAGACCUUAACUGUGAUUACAGUAAGCAAGUUAGCACCUGCCAAAACUUAUAGUUCUGCUAAUGAAAAAAUUCACACAAAGCACCGGAUUUAGCCGCAAACCACUUUUCAGCAUCAAUCUACUUCUUUCACAGGUCAUCACAGGUUAUGAGAGAGCUUGGGAUGUAAAAUUAUUUGUGAAAUAUUUUCCAUCUAGUAAUUCAUUGUGUAUAGCUCUGCAUAUUAUCCCUAAUGAUUUAAUGUGCCACUGAAUAAGCCUAUCUCCAUUAUUCAUCAUGAUUUUCACAACCUUUCUUUCUGCAGCCUUCUCCAACAAUUUAAUAUCACUCGUAAAGUAAAUAUCCUCCCCAAAUAGUUAUUUAUUUCAUGAAGGAAAGGCCAGAGUCAAAAAUCCUUUAGCUAACCACAGUAGUGAGGUACAACAUAAGAAAAUCCUGGAUGUUUGGGUUGAAGACGUCCCCUGGUGAUUUUGCCUUCUUUUUUGGGACAAACCUAUUUCUACACACCAAAAGGUAGCCUAUGCCCUCCUUCACUGGUUUUUUGUUCCUUCAGGUGGCAGUUUAUUUUUAAAAGCCGAGCGUGCAGCUCUGUGGGAGCGGUGCUGCCCUUCUGUGCAGCACGGACCUGCCGAGGAACGAACGUUCCCCUCAUGUUCUCCAGACACGCACGUGCCCCACAGCUCAAGGGUCCACCUGGGAAGUGCUGGGCUCUCCUAAACAUUGCUGCAGGUAUUGCUGAUGUGUUUUGUUGUUGUUUUUUGGGGGUUUUUUUAAGCGAUGCAGCUCUCAGCCUCUGCAAAAUAAGAAUCUGCCUGGAAAAAUUGACCAUCCUUCGAUCGACCAUAUGUGAAUUUACAGUAUGUUAAAUCCUGAGUCACUCAGACAGGCUGUCUGGUGAGUACUCACAAACCAUACCCCAUCCACCAAUCAGUUUUUGAUACAUGACAGAAUGUUUUGUUUUCAGUCUGCUGUCAUUAGUAUUUGGCAGAAUACUAACUUCUUGAGCCAGAAGCUUUUUGGAAGUCAAGGUGAAUUAUACCUACUUGGAUUCCUAGCUAAACCUGUGUGGCUUCCUUCCUGGAUUUCUGCGGUGCUGCAAAAGUAAAAAUUACACCGAGAGAAGCUGUGAAGAUCAAUUUAAAAAUGUAUCAUAUAUUUAUAGCAAUAAUACCUGGGUAGUUUUAAAAAGGUCCUUUAAUGGCUGCUUAUGGAAAUGGUUUUAGACAAUUUCAGUGGCACUAAAGCACUGUUCUCUUUUCUGUAAUUCCCAAGGUCAUCUUUUGUUCUUUCUUUCUUUCUUUCUUUCGAUAAAAAUCAAUCCUCGGGAAUGGCUUCUGCUAUUAGAGGUAUAUUACAUAUUUUAGUUAGUAGUUCAGCUACUUUUUGUUUUUCCCUUUUAAAACUCUCAAAUGAAUGCUAUCCAGCCCCAGGGAUUUUCUACCAUUAACUUUAUCUAGUUGCUCUAAUGCCUCAUCUUCAGAGGCCACUCUCUCUGACAAUGCCUCAUCUGUAAAAAUUAACCUUGAGUUAGAAAUGUCUGCCUCAUCCUCAUUAGUGAAGACUGAUUACAAAGAAUUCAUGUAAUUUCUUCACAAUCUCUUCAUCCUUUUUAAUUACAACUUUAGUGGUCCAGUUGACCUAGACACUUAUUUAGUGUGUUCUUCCUGAUACAGUUAAAGAAUUUCUUACUGGUGGUUUUAAUGCGUUUUGACUAUUAGUCUUCUUAAAAAACUUCAUUGAAAAUUAUAAUUCAAUCUAUACGAAAAUGGUUUUUCCUCAUGAGAGGUCUAGCUGCUUAUAACAAGUUUGAUAUCUGGUUUUUCUUUUGCAUAACUUUCUUAAGAGGAGCGUUAAGCAGCCAGAGCAGCGGACACUCAGGGACAUUGCCCACCAUGACAUCUGUCGUUCAGGUCAACGCUAGCAAGAAUUUUGGGAACCACAAACACAAACACCACUUGGAGGAAAGGGAUCCUUUCUGUCCACACCAUCCAGCAAGAUGCAUCAACAUUAGGAAACACGUGCUGGAUCCCAGCUGGAGCCAGGUACCACCUGCAGGGCAUUCUGUAAAAGCUGGCUUUGUCUAAGUGCACAACAGGCGCCUCCAUUUGGUUAACCUUCCUGCCUUCCCUUUCUUGAUUAUAUUUUUUUACAGCUUAGAAAUCAACACUUUCGUCUCAAAUUUUUGUAUUAUGAAUGAAGAUAAAAAAUUUUACUGUGUUUGGUCAUUGUAUAUUCCCUGCUAACUUUGAAAUCCUUUAAGAAAAGAAAUGGUCUGAGUGGUACCUGUGCAGACCCAGUCACGUCUUCACAUCUGAUCGGUUUUUAGAGAGAAAUUCUGCAUUGUUAAUAGAGGUUGCAUAAGGGGAGCGAGAAACCUCUUUUAUCUACACCUAACUAUCACAGGGUACCCUGAAUAAGGAUGUCUUUUUUUAUUUUCUGUGUGAAAUUGUAUCUUGCCCAGCAUUUCUGGGAGAUCCACUUCCCCAAGCCAUUCCUACUUUGUGACAAUUGCAUACCACUGAAUAAGGUUUCAUAAUAGUUUGUAAUACCUCUUACCUGAGCGACAUAAUUAUAUAGUUUCAUGUAUUCCAAUACUUUCCAUUUGGGAAAAUAGAAUGCUGAGACAUUCACCUUUACUCAUAUUUCCAGCAGUAACUGCUUGUCAUGUCUCUAAACACAGACACCUAACGUACACAUAAUAGAAGGAGAAAUGUUGAUACUAAUAUUUACUGUACCUAUUCAAGAAUAUUUUAUCCCUACAUGUUCUGCAAGGGCUUUUGUUCUUUAAAAAUAGUUGCAUAAAACUAUAUUCUAAUUUUUUUCUUUAAAUUUUUCAUACAUUCUUCCUGCGUGUAUUUUUAAUAUUCAAAUUUACUUUUCACAGGAAUCCAGAUUUGCACAUUUCUGAUUUAUCCAAAAGAAUUAAAAAUACAGAAACUGAACCGAAUGUUUAUAUUUAGAAAUUUGUUUUUAAGAAGGAAACUCAGCCUUGAAGAAAACGCAGAACAUGUACUUCAGAGAAGACUGUAUUACACUCUGACUUUGAUCUGUUCUAGCUGUUAGUCUUCUAUAUUACUCUGCUGUUCUCUGUAAAUCUGUCUUUGACCUUGACCUCAUGUUAAUCACACCGUAGCUCUAUUCCUUAAUGUUUAGUAACCUGUUGUUUUUAAUACCUAGUGCUCUCUUUGGCUGGCUUUUAGGUGUUCUACUGCUUUAUACUAGCCAUCUAAAUAUUUACUGGCAGAUAAGAAGUAUGACUCUACAUGCUGAUUGGGAUUUUUUCUGGGAGUAGGUACUUCUGUAUCAACACUGUGUCCCAACUCAUCUGGGUAUGGAAGCAAAGAGGCAGUUCUCCUGCUCUUCCCCUUCCCCAGCCUAGAGAUUUCACCUUCAACAUGAAGGGCAGAUUUCUACAAGUAUGAUACAUACAUUAACAAAGCAGUGUAUUUUGCUGAAAAAAAAUCAUUGCUGGUUGAAGUAGUCCCUAGGUUUUCUUUGAUUCUGCAUCUUUCAUUGCUCAUUUUUGGCUAUGCAGGCUAGCAGCAAAAUGCCAUGGAAGCAUAAGGAAUCCAUCCCGGCUGAGGCAGUGCAGUUACUCGUGCUGUCUAGCUGCAUUUAGCAGGGCUGUAUUGACAAUAGCCAAACCAUCUGAUUGAGAGCUGUCAGGAACACUGUUGGUUAUAGAAUCACAGAAUUAUAGAAUUUUCUAGGUUAGAAGGGACCUUUCAGAUCAUCGAGUCCAACCAUUAUGAUACCACAUUGCAGCUCAUGUGUUUUUUUUUCUUUAUACAAUACACAUAACUUUUUAUGUAGACAUUUUAACUCUGUUUCAAGGUUGUUGUCAGUUUUAAGAAUAAAUUUUUGAGAUACUCAAGACCAAUUAUUUUCAUUUUAAUCUUAUUCAGAUUAUUUGGUCUCUAUUGUGUCACAUUGGGAGACAUCUCUGUGUUCGGGAUUUGAGUAGUCAUGCACUUUUACGCGUGAAGGCAGUUCACCUGUUAAAAGAAAACACCUUAAUGAAAUUGUUUAAGCUCUAUUUAAAAACUGCAACCUUAUUGAUAGCUAUUGAGAUGCCAAGAAACUAGAGGCUAGACUGAAGUCACAGAGACUUGCAAAGGGACUUGACCCGAGCUCAUACCUGUGGGACUGCAGUUUCCACUGCUGAUAUAUAGCACAGUAGUCCACUUUGAGAACUAUUAUCAUAAUUCAGAACAGUCUUCUCUAAAGUGGGAAAAUGCUUUAUGCUCCCCCUAAGAGUGAGGAGAGUAUUGAAUUAGGGUCUUCCACAGCCUCAACCAGUGCUCCAUCAACCAGGCUGUUGCUUAAAGCAAAGACCGAUAAUUUUAAACAGAAGAGUGAGUUUGGCUCUGCUGCUAGAAGGAAAGUGUACGGGACCAACACUUCAGCAGGGAGUUGAAGACUGUGGGGGCUGAGCUGUCUUUUCAUGUCCCCAGUUGCAAGGACGGACACCAAGCAUUCGAACUAGCCUCAGAGGCACCCAAAGCCUUGAUGGGGCUAGCUCUUCUCUUGAUUGCCUUCUCACCAAGAAGAUGAAAAUGUGAAUUGGUGUCUUUGCCAUCCUUUUAUACCAUCAGUCCCAAAUCUCCUGUUGGUUGAGGUCCAAUUCUGCCACCUCUUUGAGCAGCACCUUAAUGCACAAGUAGAACCGCUGAAUUCAAUGUGACUAAUGGUGCAGUAAAGUACUAAUCAGUUUGAAUAAUGGCAGCAGAAUAGGGCCCUCGGUAGUAAGAAUUAAUCAUACCAGAUCUUUGAAACUGAUUUUUUCAUUGUACAGCUGAGCUGACAGAACAGAUGAAAGGAAAAGAGACAAUACUCAGGAGCAUAGUUACUGAUAAAUAAUUACAACAAGGACAUUAUAAUUAUUUAAUUAAAAUUUGUGCAUGGGGAGAGAUUAUGAGUCUUUCAGCUUGCUGCCUCAUUUAGAUGAUACUAGUCAUUAACCAAUUUUGCUGUAGUCAGCUACUAAAUGUCCACACAGCCUGCCUUAUUUUUUAAACCUCUUCAAUCAGCAAAACUGGCUGCAUGCACUGUGUAAUGCUACUGAAGAACAAAGUGCCACACUUAGGACUAUAAUUAAAGGCAGUCUCAAGUUUUUAAAGGAAACUUGUACUUUAAUUAAUCAAGACCAUCAAAUAAACAGGAACAGUAGAGUGUUUAUCUCUGCUUCUGAAGUUAUUAAUUACCGAACCACACAGAGAUCACUGUGGAGUUGACAAUGCCCCUGUAAUUUUUCCUACUGAAGUUAUUUUGUUCCUUCCCUUAGUGUCAUUUUCUACUGGCUUUUGUCUGGGAAUAUAAACAUCACAGACAUUUAAUGUGUCAGAACAGUGGUAUCUACACCACAAUAAAAGAUACGUUUUCAAGAUCACCUUCCCCAGCAAUUUCUUCACAUCUACUAAUUUUCUAGUUCAGGUCUGUCUUUAGAAACUUUCCCCCAGCAUGUCUUUCUGCAGCUUGCCGUCUGAAUUUGCACCCUUAAAGCAGGCAUUUUGCAACCAGCUGUAUCUUUCUGUUUUCCAACUGGCAGAUAUUUUAUUUCUUCUUAUGUUUUCCCUCAGUUUCCAGCUGGUAGGUAUUCUAACACCUCUAAUGUUUUCCCUCAGUUUUCAGCUUCCCAUUGCCAAACAGAUGGCAUGUUCUCACAUUUACACAACAAAUCCUAAUGUUCUUUCGGUUAUACCAAUACACAAUAGGAGUGACACUUCUGCAUCUAAGAGAGUUCAGGCUAUGUCAAAGAGGUAUUUGCAAUGGAAAAAAAUGAGGCCCACAAACAUAAGGAGUUAUGAGUAUACAAAAUACACAGAAUUUAAUUUGACUUACAGAAUUUAACUUGACUGAAAGAAAACAAGCACUUCAGAAAUUAAUGUAUAACUAUUGUAGAAUAGUAUCAUCUUUUUGUGGGUUUUUUGAGACACCCUGUUGCAUUUUAUAGCAUUACUUCAGCACUUUCUGUUUUCCUUCUGUUCUAGCAGACUUUUUGAUAGGACUUACACACUCUGAAAAUCCAGUAACAUUGGAAUGGAACCAUUUAAUUCUCUGGUGCCAAAGAGUGCUCAAGGUCGAUGUGUGCAAUUAUUUUUGCUUUUUCAUUAGGAACAGCACAUCCAGACCAAAACCAACAGAUGCCCUUAGCCACCUGACUGAGAAAUUUUAGAUGGGAUCAUCCCACAUGGGCAACUUCAGCUUCCUGGGCUGAAAGCCGAAGAUGCUAAUGUAAAAAGCAAGAAAAAAUAAGAAUGCGAGCAACAAAAAAAAUCCAUUUAAAUCUCACGGAUCAGGGUCCUCUUAAAAAUGCUUAACCAAUAGGCAUGAAAUACAGCAUUUUGACUCUAAAAUGAACAGGAUGAGAAAUAAAGCAAAAAUAUCACUGUAACUAUGAGCUCCCACAGAUUUCAAUGUCUGGGUAUUCAGCAUGAAAACAGAAAAAAACCAGACUUUCAAAUUCAUUCUCUCAUCUGUAUUUCAGUAACAAGUGCUCUGUGAUAAUCAACUAUUAGAAACACACUCGACUGAUAGCAAUCAAUAAUAAUUGUAUUUAUUCAGUUGAUA